rnacentral:rRNA from 1 species
AGGGUUUGAUCAUGGCUCAGAACGUACGCUGGCGGCACGCCUAACACAUGCAAGUCGAACGAAGUAGCAAUACUUAGUGGCAGACGGGUGAGUAACAUGUAGGUAUCUGCCCUUUGGCCUGGAAUAACACGAGGAAACUUGUGCUAAUACCGGAUAAGUCUUUACGGAGAAAGCUUUAUGCACCAUUGGAUGAGCCUGCACUUGAUUAGUUUGUUGGUGGGGUAAUGGCCUACCAAGACUGUGAUCAAUAGCUGAUUUGAGAGGAUGAUCAGCCACAUUGGGACUGAGACACGGCCCAAACUCCUACGGGAGGCAGCAGUGGGGAAUCUUGCACAAUGGAGGAAACUCUGAUGCAGCGAUGCCGCGUGAGUGAAGAAGGCCUUUGGGUUGUAAAGCUCUUUCGUCGGGGAAGAAAAUGACUGUACCCGAAUAAGAAGGUCCGGCUAACUUCGUGCCAGCAGCCGCGGUAAUACGAAGGGACCUAGCGUAGUUCGGAAUUACUGGGCUUAAAGAGUUCGUAGGUGGUUGAAAAAGUUGGUGGUGAAAUCCCAGAGCUUAACUCUGGAACUGCCAUCAAAACUUUUCAGCUAGAGUAUGAUAGAGGAAAGCAGAAUUUCUAGUGUAGAGGUGAAAUUCGUAGAUAUUAGAAAGAAUACCAAUUGCGAAGGCAGCUUUCUGGAUCAUUACUGACACUGAGGAACGAAAGCAUGGGUAGCGAAGAGGAUUAGAUACCCUCGUAGUCCAUGCCGUAAACGAUGUGUGUUAGACGUUGGAAAUUUAUUUUCAGUGUCGCAGCGAAAGCGAUAAACACACCGCCUGGGGAGUACGACCGCAAGGUUAAAACUCAAAUGAAUUGACGGGGACCCGCACAAGUAGUGGAGCAUGUGGUUUAAUUCGAAGAUACGCGCAGAACCUUACCAACACUUGACAUGUUCGUCGCGACUCUAAGAGAUUAGAGUUUUCGGUUCGGCCGGACGAAACACAGGUGCUGCAUGGCUGUCGUCAGCUCGUGUCGUGAGAUGUUGGGUUAAGUCCCGCAACGAGCGCAACCCUCACUUUUAGUUGCCAUCAUUAAGUUGGGCACUCUGAAAGAACUGCCAGUGAUAAGCUGGAGGAAGGUGGGGAUGACGUCAAGUCCUCAUGGCCCUUACGUGUUGGGCUACACACGUGCUACAAUGGUAUCUACAACAGGAAGCAAGACUGCGAAGUUAAGCAAAUCCCUAAAAGAUACCUCAGUUCGGAUUGCACUCUGCAACUCGAGUGCAUGAAGCUGGAAUUACUAGUAAUCGUGGAUCAGCGUGCCACGGUGAAUGCGUUCCCGGGUCUUGUACACACCGCCCGUCACACCAUGGGAGUUGGUUCUACCUUAAGGCAAGGUUUUAAACCCUUGACCACGGUAUAGUCAGCGACUGGGGUGAAGUCAUAACAAGGUAGCCGUA